UGCCUCCCGCCGAGGGGGCGGGGCCUCCCCGGCCGCUUUCCCGCCGGCGCGCCGGGAGCGGGGGCUGGGGGCCGGGCGCGGGGUCCCCCCGGGGCAGGGCGGCAGCGGGGUCCCUCGCCCCAGCGCGGGGCGGGACGCUCCGCCCGGCGUCGUGUCACCCGGAGCACCUCGCGCCGGCUCUGUUGGCUUUGCAGCUCCGCGGCAAUCCCGCGCCGUCGCCUUCCUCGGCGCUGCAAAGCGGGUCCCUUCGGGCACGGAGCGCACGCAGCGGGAUCUCGCACCAGGAAGUCUCCGGCGUGCUCUAGACCGCUCUGUGACAUUCCUUCCAGCCCAGUGCCAUCUAGUACAGCAUUUAAAUCUCCACAUGGGAACGAGAUGGUGUUUUCAAGGAGCAUCCCUGUAGGCCAAAUGACAGAUGGCUCCAAAUGAACAGUAACAGGAAAGUUUGAUGAUGAUGAAAAUAGGUGUCAUGAUGUUCAUAGCGCCAGCGUGAAGUGCCCAGUGGAUCACCAAAGCUGCGUGGAUCAGUAAGAUCGGCGCCCCAAACUGGUUCUCGCCUAGGAACGAGGCAGAGCACUUAUAUCCCAGCCUAACGCUAUUUCUUUCAUCCCUGUUAAAGCCAAUAAGACUAUUCUAUGAGGAUUUAUCGUAAGGCGAUUUGAAGGCACCAUUAAGAAGAUCAGCCCUGUCUGCCUGCCAGGCUGUUUCCCGUCAAGAAAGUUAUGCCCCCUUAUUCUGUCGUUUGAGGCACUUCUGAAAAUGGAGACUAAACAUUUGGAAACCCACAAGAGCUCUUUGCUCUGAAUCAAGAGGCCCGUCUUUCCCAGCGGCACGGGGAGAAGUUCCAGAUUUCAUGUGGACAACUUUGGAGUAAGCUUUAGGGGCAAGAAAGUUGUGAACUGCUUUGGAGAGUAUGGUGUAGGCCUGGUCUCAAGUGGCAUCACUUAGGGGACAGAAUUUGGGAUUUUCUUAACAGGUGUAGAUGCUCCAAACUCUUACCCUGAACUCUGCUAAAUAAACACAAGCAACCUGAGGCUGUAUCUUUCCAGGUUAAAGUCUUCACCCAUCACCAUCCUCUCUGUGGAGCCUUCCUAGCCUACAGGUCUGUUUCCAGUGACCCUGCUUUUGGACUACAGUACCAGCAGACACAACAAAGGUCCAUAAAAUUAUUUUUCAGGAGAAGAAAAACAACAACAACAAAACCUGUUUCCAGAUCAAGGAGGAGCUAGCUGAAGAAUGAGAUCAACAUAGCACAGAGAUAGUCACAGGAAAGGAAAAAGACAUGUUGAGGAUGUGGCUCCAUGUGACUGCAGGGAGCCACAGAACUAUAGGGAAAACAUUUCUCUGUGGGCAGAGUUUUUAACCAGCCAAAGCAAGGCAGAGGAUAGUGAUACAAACCUCACCAAGCUCAAGUACAGGUGACUAGUCUCAUGAGGGACUGGCACCUCGCUGACCUUAUUGCCAAGCUGCCAAAGAUCAACAGAGCGCUUACAAGUCAUCUGGCGAGGAAGAAGAGCUGUGGGCAGCCUGGGCUAACCAGGGGAAGGGAGGGAGAAGGUCCCUGAAGGAAAUCUGCGGAACCUGAAGCCCUGAUCAUGAGCUUUGAACAAGCAGCCAAGAACCAAGUGGAAAUCUACCGCCGAAAUCUGGAACGAGGAGCUGGAGGCAAAAAUUUUCAUAAGGGUAAAAGGGAAUGGAGCUGGCUAACAAAGCCACCACAUUACACAGAUAACUUCAGAUAGCUUAAUUGGAUUGAAUCAGCUAAUUGGUCUACAACAAAUCAACCAAAUUUGACAUUUAACAUCCUCUAAAAGCCAAGCCAAGGGCAGACAGAGAAAAAGGACAGGCAGGGAGAAAGCAGCACCAAAGGAGGAGACAGUGGGAAGAAUGCAAGAGCCACCCCCCUUUGCAGGACAGAGGCAUCCCACCCAGAAAAUGAGAAGAUAAGGAAAGGUGAAAGACUUUCUAAGAGAAAGCCUUUGCUCACAAACCCAGCGUAGGUAAGGGGAGGGCAGAAGCAGGAUGGGCAAAUUUGAUUAGAUGUUGUUCACAGAAAUGUCCAAAAGUAAGUUGGGUGCCAUAAUGGGUGUUCAUGGUUAGGGAUUAGAGAGAUGAAAGAAUUAAUUUCAUCUUAAACACGGACACACAUCUAACCUUAGUGACGUCCCGCAAGGCUGACUCUGUUCAUACUGCAAAUUACAGCAUGCCAAGAAGCCCAGGGACCCAGAUGUUGUCUCCAGGGCACAUCAGAGCUUGUGCGCAGCAUGAGCUGUGUGCUCCGUAGGCACAGGGUGAUCUGACAGACAUCUCGGGGCCAGUGGGAAAAUUCCUCUGUUUUCACUGAUCCCGUGGUGCAGAGACCAGUGAGGAAGCUAGCACCAGUGCCACGUGGGCACGGGAGAGAAGGGAUGCAAUGGGGUACUGGCCCCCUGAAGGCAGAGGUGGUGUUCUGCACCUUAUCUACCUCUCCACAGAUGUAUGAGGCCUACCAUCUGAGCUGUUCUCUUUCCCACCUGGACUGGGGUGACUGGGCUUAUCUGGGAAGGGCUAAGGCUGACGAGGUACCAUGGGAAGGGACAAUCCCAUGGGACUGAGCUCACCUGGUCAGGUUGGGGACCCAGCCAAGCAGCAGUGCCUUGAAGUGUGUGGGAUGUGGGGGGCACCUGGGCUCACAGGGAAGGCUGGUGAGUGCCUGUGGGGUUACUGGAGCGAUGGCACCCCAACUGCACCCCUGCCCCUCUCACAAGCCCCAGGGGCUCCUGGAGAAGCUGAACGAGAGCAACCUGCAGUAGGUGCCCCGGGAUGGCAUCACCCUUCAGGCACAGACACUUUUCAAAACACAUCUAAACAAAAUGAUUGCUAUUUACAGCAUGGCUGGUCAGAGACACUCCAAAAACUGGCCUUUCUAAAACCAGCUAGCAGUGUGUUUUGUGAGAUGUUAUUUUCAGCGUGCUGUCAAAACAAAUCUCUGUCCAUGGCUGACCUGAGUGACUCCUCUUGUCAGGACAACUGCCCUUAGCAGUGACUGAACCAGUCCUAAUGCAGGGCUUCAAAAACAAGAGCAAUGGUUACUGGUUGGUUUGCACUGUCUGUAGGAUGGAGGUGGGAUAGCUGGCUCACUACAAAAGUGGCAUCUUAAGUUGGUCCUUAUUUGCUCUUGGAAUGCCAAAGCCAAGUAUUCAGAAUCAGAGUUGAACAGUUAUUGGGAAACCAUGGGCAUCUGACUCAGUCCUUGUAAUCAAAACAAGUUUGAGAAAGCGUUUAAGCCCUCCUGCCUAGGCCGAUUACUAACUGCUUGAAGGAGAGCAGGAUAUUUCAAGGUUUCAGGCCCCCUCCUCUGUAGCAUCCAGCACCAGCCACGGUCCCAGUCAGACCCAGGAUUUCAGGUCUGACUGGCCUGGUGUUUCUUCUGCUCCCAGAUCCUCGAGUUGUUUCAAAACAGAGAGGCCCAAGACACUUGGGCACACAGAGCCCUCAGGUGCAGGGCUGUGUGGGUGCCCGGCACGUAGAGGUGUGCGGCGAGGCUCAGGCCUUUCCCCCUUGUGUGUGUGGAGAAGUGCGCACAUGCUUCUCGCUUGAACGGCUGGGCCAAGUUUAGCCCCCUAUAAAACACAUCCUGCUGUAAAUCAUAAUAAGUAGCCAUUCAUAGGAGGCCUGCAAAACAGGAGGGGGUUUGUGUGUGCCAUUCUUGAAGGCAGCAGCAGCCCUUUAAAGCCUUUUAUAAGCUGUGGCAAUAUGGGCUCCCAGCAUGCUCCUUACCCUGAGUCAGCACGUAGAUGCCGGCUGGGGCACUGAAAACAACAUUUUGAGGGGGUGCUGGCAGGCUUGGGGGGGCAAACACCAACUGCUAAGCUCUAGAGGCCAGAUGAAAUCAGUGGCACCUUUCCAUCUGUCCCCAAACAGACCAGGAUGUUGGGUGUGACCUGGCACAGCGUGACAGAGACUCAGCAUCUUGGGGAUAGACUCUGAAAUAGCUCAGUGCCACAGUCCACUUUCCUUCAAGGCGUCUGCAUAGGUCCCUCUGUCCUUAACAGGGGCCUGUACAGCUCUGGCAAAUGCCAUGCUGCUUUGUGACCGCUGUGCCAUGACAGUCCCCUCCCAAGCCUGUGUCCCCAGGCUCUCUCUGCCUUUUCCCUUACAGCUGCGAUGCUCCUGCGAUGGUUUUACACCCAGCCCACGUCAGGGCUCAGCGAUGCCUCCACAGCCUUUUGCCUGAAAUGUUCUGAUGUGUCCUCGUCCUGGCUGGCCUCUGCUCUGCAGCAGCAUACCUCCCUGUGAGGCUUAUAUAAUCCACCACUGUCACCACUUCCCACUGCAUGUGUUUGUAAUGCUUUAAAUACGCAGGGAAAGGCACAGACUCCCCUCCAACAGGUACAUGCACUCAGGCAAGCCCCACUGUAAGUGAUCCCUUUACAGACCAACCCUUAUGAUAGUAGGAGUUAUUCUUUUUCCAUUUAAUAAGUGGUUGGGGUGAAGUGGUGGGGUAAAAGUUGUUUUGGGUUGCAAACAUUUAUAAACCUCUUGAAGAAGCGUGACAUGUUCCCUUCGCUGUGAGUUCUGUUGGCCUUAGGGACAACUAAAACUCACCUAUAUGCUGUGUAUGGUCCUAAGAAAGCAGGUGGUUCACUCUCCAUGGAAGAAAUAGAAGUACACAACUUCUCUGAGAUCAGUCAAUAACCUCCUGCUGGAAAACUGCUGCUACUCUCUCAGGUAAGAGUGAUAAUGCCCAUGGAAACACCAAUUACAGAAAUUAGAAAUAAUACUCAAAGUUAACCAAUUGCAUAGUAUAUACACUAUAAAAUGACCUUACAACAAAAUGCUUAUCUUCCAAAGCAUUCUUCAAGUGAGUUACAGCAUCCACUCCACACAGUGGUUGAAAGAGCUAUAGGAGCAUAGCAUCUAAAGCAAAGGGACAAUCUGCUGUCCCAGGGAAGUGAGCUGCAUCAUUAUGUCCAGCAACAACACCUGGUCUCCUAUCAGUGAGCUGGAGCUGGCACAGAGACCACCUCUUGCUCUAAGGCUGUGAGGUGUCUCAGCAUGACCACAUGUUGGCUAAAGCCAACAGGGUUUAGCCUUUGAAAAUGGAAGAAAGCAGUACCUGUGCCUGUGCAGGUGCAUUCUGCUGCAGAGCAAGCUCAGCAUGCUCAUUAUUUUCUGCUAAGGAACUGGGGAUUACUCUGACUUGCUGAAAACCACCUGGUCUAGAUUGUAUCAGAUGUAGCUUAGUAAGAAGGGCAUAAAACUUGCCAGCUCUAACAUCCCACAUUGUUCAUCAACACAGGAUGCUCAGGCUGUAACAGAAAGCUAGAGUGAUAGAAAGAGCACGACCAGCUGACAACUAUUACCUGGUAUUGCUUCUGGUCCCCAUGGCUUGUAGCUCCAUGAGCAGCUUGCUCUGCAGGAAUUCUUGAUGUUUGCAGCACAACUUCUGAGCACUGGAUGUGGCUGGAUUCAGUACAAAAAACGUCUUGAACCAAAGUUUUUCACUAAACACAGUGUUGUCUUCCAACAUUAAAACAAGACAGAAGCUGUGAUUCUUGAUUUGUUGGAGUACAAUAAUAUCUUUGGCCCUGGUCUGCUUGUAAGAUGGUAAAAGUUACAAGCCAUUGUAUUUGUGCCUGUGUUUCUGAUACUUUGGGAUAAGUAACUUAAACAGAGGUCAUGUGAUGUGAUGAACUCCUAGAUGACUCAAUGAAAAUAAAUUUUAAAACAUGUGUUCUCA